rnacentral:rRNA from 1 species
AUGAUGUGGUUUAAUUCGAUGCAACGCGAAAACCUUACCCACCUUUGACAUGUACGGAAUCCUUUAGAGAUAGAGGAGUGCUCGAAAGAGAGCCGUAACACAGGUGCUGCAUGGCUGUCGUCAGCUCGUGUCGUGAGAUGUUGGGUUAAGUCCCGCAACGAGCGCAACCCUUGUCAUUAGUUGCUACAUUCAGUUGGGCACUCUAAUGAGACUGCCGGUGACAAACCGGAGGAAGGUGGGGAUGACGUCAAGUCCUCAUGGCCCUUAUGGGUAGGGCUUCACACGUCAUACAAUGGUCGGUACAGAGGGUUGCCAAGCCGCGAGGUGGAGCCAAUCCCAGAAAGCCGAUCGUAGUCCGGAUUGUUCUCUGCAACUCGAGAGCAUGAAGUCGGAAUCGCUAGUAAUCGCGGAUCAGCAUGUCCGCGGUGAAUACGUUCCCGGGUCUU